rnacentral:rRNA from 1 species
AGCAGCCGCGGUAAUUCCAACUCCAAUAGCGUAUAUUAAAGUUGUUGCAGUUAAAAAGCUCGUAGUUGAAUUUCGGGAUCAGACUGUCGGUCGUGCCUCGGUACGCACUGGCAUUAUUGGUUCCUACCUUCUGAAGAACCGCGAUGUCAUUAAUUUGGUGUCGUGGGGAAUCAGGACCGUUACUUUGAAAAAAUUAGAGUGUUUAAAGCAGGCGCACGCUUGAAUACAUUAGCAUGGAAUAAUGAAAUAGGACGUUUGAUUCUAUUUUGUUGGUUUCUAGGAUCGACGUAAUGAUUAAUAGGGAUAGUUGGGGGCAUUAGUAUUCAAUUGUCAGAGGUGAAAUUCUUGGAUUUUAUUGAAGACUAACUACUGCGAAAGCAUUUGCCAAGGAUGUUUUCAUUAAUCAAGAACGAAAGUUAGGGGAUCGAAGACGAUCAGAUACCGUCGUAGUCUUAACCAUAAACUAUGCCGACUAGGGAUCGGAUGAUGUUAAUUUUAUAAUGACUCAUUCGGCGCC